GGCAAAUAGCUGAUAUUUCACAGCGUGGGCGCGGAGGCCGACUGCGGGAUCCACAGCGACCAAUCGCAGGACAGCUCGGGUCAGGGGACUUCGUUCAGCUCUACUGCAAGCUCGACAGUACAUAGCGAUUCCAUCGUGGUAGACCCGGCGUUGUACCUGGCAGACUAUUCACCACCGGGUGAACGAUCACAUUCCCCACUAGUAGCUCCACCAGAGGAAUCGAUUGAAAAUUUAGAAAUUGCAGCGCACGAAAACCAAAACCGGCCUGUAAACAGAAAUCGUAUCCCGCGGAGCAUGCACAGGGCGAGCUUGCCGGCCAGCGACGCCGACAUCAGCUCGAUCGACACGGACGUCGCCUCCGAUUAGUCAUUAUCGUUUAUUUUACAAGCAUCGGUUUAUUCGCACUUUGUUACUCUGCAACACUUAUUUAAUCUUAUAAAUACAGCGAUUCACCAAAGUGGACGAAUGAAAUGAGAGAUACGAAUUACAACCAAUACUUUCGUGCCCUUCCGCCAUGUCAAACUGAAAGUACAUUUAAGUAUAUUAAAGUAUCACCGAAAAUUUGGUGGGGGACAUCGUUCAUUUGGCUAAUUUAUUGUUUCUUGUUUAUUAAUGUGAUGUACAGUCGACUUCAAAUAUAUGUUUACACUUUUCACCUUAUUACAAAGGAGUUAGGCGCAAGUGUAAACAUACUUUUGACGUCGACUGCACACAUGAAUACUUCUGGUAUUUAUUUUAUUAAUUUACGCCCAUUUGGUAAAUCGACGUGUAUUUUUGUAUUUUAAUUCGAACUUGUCCGUCCAACAACUAUACAUACAUGUAUUGUGCAUACUUUCUAAGCGUUUAAUUAUUUGAGUUUAUCAUAGACCCGUUUUAAAUUUAAACCGUAGCUUAUUGCAACCAAAUUGUAAUGUUUACAACAUGUUUGAAGUUCCAAAUAAAUUUAAGUACUUAUUAA